CGCCAGCCCCGCCCGCCCGGCGCAGGCUGGGCUGUCCCGCUGUCAGGAUUUGUCUGGCGCCGCGUGCCUUCUCAGGGGUGUGUUGGGGGGAGUCCUCUGCCCGACUAUCAAAAUGGUUAUCAAAGUGUUUGUUGCCACAUCUUCUGGGUCCAUAGCGAUUAGGAAAAAACAACAAGAAGUGGUGGGCUUUUUGGAAGCUAAUAAAAUCGACUUCAAGGAGUUAGACAUAGCGGGGGACGAAGACAACAGGCGGUGGAUGAGAGAGAAUGUU